AAAGAAACUUACAUACAUACAUACAUACAAACAUUACCUCUUUAUAAUAUUAGUAUAGAUUUCUUCGGUCCUUCAUAAAUGUGAAAAAGCGUUAAGCUUUCUUUAGCAGUUAUUUAUUUCUGAUUUUCAAAAAAAACGUAUAAAUUUUCUCUCCCUUUGUUUUCGCAAUGACAGUUACCGAUUGGAUAACACGUGCCAGCUGCGGGUUAUUGAAGACAAAUUUUAAUAUCUGAUCGGAUUCUGUUGCUGACUUUCUUUUCUUUAGUGCAAAACGAUUCCAUAUAAACAACCAAUUGUCUUAAUUAAUCAUAAAAACUACUUAGUUACGUAUGAAUGUGUGAAUCUGUAUAUUAAGACCAAAACAUGUAUAGGAUCAUACAUAAUCGUAAUGAAAGCCGCGUCCAAAAAUAAUCCGAAUGAAAAUAUAAGUCAAGAAAAGGAAAUUGAACCAGCAUAUCCUAGAAAUGUGGUGGAGACAGAAGAAUAGAAAAUUACCAAAACCAUAAAGAAGACCGAAGGACUAUUCACAAGGUUUUUAUUGGACUUGUUUAGUAUUGUUGUGUUACUGUCCUAAUGAUAAUUUAGAGCCCUAUUAAUAAGGUGUAUGUAAUAAUUUGUACUAUUAACGUAUAUGAUAAUGUUGGCGAUUGUCAUCAUAGACUCUGUUUUUUGUAGAUCAUCCAAUUGAUAAAGACCAAUAAAGCCAAAAUGCAUUUUGGAUAAGUUAAUUAAAUAGGUUGGUGUGUAAUAAGCCUGUUCAUUAGUCAUAAGUAACUAAGUAGUUUGUAUAACCAAUAAUGUUGUUUAUACUGUCUCUAAAAAUUUUUGGAUCCGUUAUUGAAGAAUAAAUGCGAUUUCUAUCAUACCGAUACUAAUUCAUCUUUACAUUUCUGUGUAUAUAAGUAUUGUCUACUUGGACUUUUGUUUAUUAAUAGGACUCUUCGUUAAUCAGAAACUUCACCAGUAUAAUAAGUCCUAUUAAUAAACAAAGUCCAAGUAGACAAUAUAUACAUAGAAAUGUAAAAAGUAAGGACAAAGAGGUAAAAAGAACUAAUUUAUCUUUAUUCCAGUUAAUGUUUAUACUGUAGUUUAACUUAGCCUAUAUAGACUAUACUGUAUAUACUAUAACCAAACAAUUAAAUAAAAAUUAAUGAUAUUUGAAAUACUUUACUAACAUUUGUUUUUAUUUAUUUUUAGAUAAUUUGCAUUUGAAAGUAUGCCAGAUAUAGAAGUGUGUAAAUGUUUGAAAUCUUCUCGCAAUGAAAUCGUUUUCAAAUGUUGGUAUUGUCUAACAAAGAGUAUUCAUAGCAGAUUAAGUUGGGCAGGUUUAAGUUUUAAUAAACUUGAUAAAAAAAUCUAUUAUUAUGAUUUAACCGUAUUUUUUCUUUUAUUUUCUUCUACAAUAUUUUACUUAAUCCUUAUUAUAAUGAAUAUCUUCAAUUGUGAGAACUCUCUUAGAUUCGCUUUAUAUAAAGUUUUCGGUAAGAAUUAUAAUGAUGUAAUGUUUUUACUUUUCGACAUAGCACUUCUUUCUACAAUUUUCUCCUAUUUGUUUAAUUUUACCUCUUUACCUUCAAAAUCUGAAAGGCAAAUUAGUACAUUGUGGUUGAGAACGUUUGAUCAUGCAACACUUUCACAUUCACUCCAAACGUAUAGAAUAUUAUUAAAAAUAGAAAGAACAUUUUCUAAAAUUAUCAUUCCCGUUUUUCUAUUUUCAUGUGUUAUCGUUGUAUUAAUGGCUAUAUAUAAUGUUAACAAAGUCUUUGUGAAAUACAUAUCCAAGCUUUCGAUUCUGUGUAUUUAUGCCCACUUUUUCCUGUGUUGUAAUGCAAUUUGCUUCUUAGUAAUGGCAGAAUUAAAUUAUGGAAUUUUAAUUUGUAUUAUUUUAAAAAGAAAAUUUGAUGAAGUUCGUCAUCAUUUUCAAUAUAUUUUAAAUAAUUUAACUGAAAUUUAUAAUGUGAAAGCUAUUCAGUUUCGUCACCAUCUUGUUUCUUUGCUUGUACAAGCAACUGAUAUCAUGUUUCAAUGGAUUUUAUUUCUUUUAUAUACUUUAGUUGUUCCUUUGAUGUUUAUUGGUUUAAAAAGUUUCUUUCACGAUAAAGAAAUGUUUGUUAAAAUAAUUAUUUAUUUCUUCUCUAUAUUUUCACUUUUUGGAAUUUGUGGGUUUACAGUUUUAGCAGGUUAUGUAAAUGUUGCUGCUCACAGCAUUCGUGAAGUUGUUAUCGAAUUGUGCGAUGAAGAAAUACCCACUGAUAUACGUCUACAGCUCAACAUAUUUUUAGGAAGAUUAAAAGGUUCGCCUAUUGGAUUAACGUGCUUAGGGAUUUUUGUUGUUACACCAAAUACAUUAUCUAGUAUAUUUAGUUUACUUCUGACAUAUCUUCUUAUGUAUUAUCAAUAUGAAGAAACAAAUAAAUGAUACUUGUAUAUAGUUUAUUAAAAAUAUAUUUGCAAUACAGAUACUAAAACUUCCACUCUAGACCAAUUAUUUGACGUGGCUCUGACAACUCCAGAAGUUGGAAUUGUGAAUUUCAAAAUCCUCCGAGCUCUUUUGAGUAAUUGUGAAAGAACUAAACAUUAAUGAUAACAGAGUGAGAGUUUUAGUAAAAGAUAUCUAGGGAAUAGCUACUGCUAUGUCCAGUACACCCAGGAUAUCGCAAGAAGGAACACAUGCACCUGCACCUGAAAAUAAAUUAUUAAAAAAGACUCCUAUUGAAGAAACAAAAGAUGUUUUACUAUUUUUAAUUCAUCAAUGUUAAAUUUAAAAAUUUCAUCAAAAUCGUACAGAGCCAUUCAAAUAGAAAAUGCAUAUUCAAAUGAAGUUGAAAUUAAACAAAUAGAAGAAAAAUUGAACGCAAAUUCAUUAAUUUCAAAUAAUGAAAUAUCAGAUGAAACAUUCAAUUCGGAAAAAUCUCCAGUUUUUUCUGAAAUGGAAUCAUUCUGAUGGAAGAACAAGAAACAAGAGGAAGAUACUAUUCUUUAAAGAACAGUUGCUAGCAUUAAAUGUGACAUUUCAUUUCUUAGAUCAGAAUUUAAAAUAUAAAAAAAUUUAGAAUGUAGAGAAAACAAAAUAACCUUCAGAAAUGUUAAACACAGUUCACCAAUAUUUAUUUGAGAAAUGGAUGGUGUGGAAAUAUGUGGAAGAUCAUAAAUUUUACAACGUGUAUUGAUGCCAUUGAAAGUAGCAUAACUUGAUAGUUUAAAACAUAUUCACAUAUCGUUUUCAUUAUCAAACACAUUAACAAAAGUAUUUAUGAAGUUUUAAUAAUUAAUAAUCAAAUCUUAUCAACUAUACAUCAAUUCUUAAGACAUUUAAGACAUUAAAAUGUCUUAAAAAUUGAUAUACAGUAGUUGAAAAUUAUUUGAAACAAAUUAAUACAAAAGAAAAAAUUCAAAUAUGACAGUGAUGUAUCCCAGUGUAAUCAAGGUUAAGGAAUUAUACUUGGAUACUUCAAUGUCACUAGCAAUGAAAAAUAUUGUUAAGGGCACAUCAAGAAUAACAUUGUGUGUGUCUUUUGUCAAUAUAAAUACUUAAAUAAACUUGACAAAAACUGUAUUAUAAAAAGACAGUUAGCCUAUCAGAAU